rnacentral:rRNA from 1 species
ACCACUAAGCCAGUGGUGAACUCCACAUACGCAUCCUUUGCUGAGGAUACGGUUAACGGAGCGAAAGCGACGUUCAACCGCAAAACAAGCAGAGGGGGCUUAGUGGUGGGGUGACUGCGUACCUUUUGUAUAAUGGGUCAGCGACUUAUAUUCUGUAGCAAGGUUAACCGUAUAGGGGAGCCGGAGGGAAACCGAGUCUUAACCGGGCGUUAAGUUGCAGGGUAUAGACCCGAAACCCGGUGAUCUAGCCAUGGGCAGGUUGAAGGUUGGGUAACACUAACUGGAGGACCGAACCGACUAAUGUUGAAAAAUUAGCGGAUGACCUGUGGCUGGGGGUGAAAGGCCAAUCAAACCGGGAGAUAGCUGGUUCUCCCCGAAAGCUAUUUAGGUAGCGCCUCGUGAAUUCAUCUCCGGGGGUAGAGCACUGUUUCGGCUAGGGGGCCAUCCCGGCUUACCAACCCGAUGCAAACUGCGAAUACCGGAGAAUGUUAUCACGGGAGACACACGGCGGGUGCUAACGUCCGUCGUGAAGAGGGAAACAACCCAGACCGCCAGCUAAGGUCCCAAAGUCAUGGUUAAGUGGGAAACGAUGUGGGAAGGCCCAGACAGCCAGGAUGUUGGCUUAGAAGCAGCCAUCAUUUAAAGAAAGCGUAAUAGCUCACUGGUCGAGUCGGCCUGCGCGGAAGAUGUAACGGGGCUAAACCAUGCACCGAAGCUGCGGCAGCGACACUCAGGUGUUGUUGGGUAGGGGAGCGUUCUGUAAGCCUGUGAAGGUGUGUCGUGAGGCAUGCUGGAGGUAUCAGAAGUGCGAAUGCUGACAUAAGUAACGAUAAAGCGGGUGAAAAGCCCGCUCGCCGGAAGACCAAGGGUUCCUGUCCAACGUUAAUCGGGGCAGGGUGAGUCGACCCCUAAGGCGAGGCCGAAAGGCGUAGUCGAUGGGAAACGGGUUAAUAUUCCCGUACUUGGUGUUACUGCGAAGGGGGGACGGAGAAGGCUAUGUUGGCCGGGCGACGGUUGUCCCGGUUUAAGCGUGUAGGUGUGUGUUCCAGGUAAAUCCGGUUCACUUUAACACUGAGGCGUGAUGACGAGGCACUACGGUGCUGAAGCAACAAAUGCCCUGCUUCCAGGAAAAGCCUCUAAGCAUCAGGUAACAUCAAAUCGUACCCCAAACCGACACAGGUGGUCAGGUAGAGAAUACCAAGGCGCUUGAGAGAACUCGGGUGAAGGAACUAGGCAAAAUGGUGCCGUAACUUCGGGAGAAGGCACGCUGACACGUAGGUGAAGUGAUUUACUCAUGGAGCUGAAGUCAGUCGAAGAUACCAGCUGGCUGCAACUGUUUAUUAAAAACACAGCACUGUGCAAACACGAAAGUGGACGUAUACGGUGUGACGCCUGCCCGGUGCCGGAAGGUUAAUUGAUGGGGUCAGCGCAAGCGAAGCUCCUGAUCGAAGCCCCGGUAAACGGCGGCCGUAACUAUAACGGUCCUAAGGUAGCGAAAUUCCUUGUCGGGUAAGUUCCGACCUGCACGAAUGGCGUAAUGAUGGCCAGGCUGUCUCCACCCGAGACUCAGUGAAAUUGAACUCGCUGUGAAGAUGCAGUGUACCCGCGGCAAGACGGAAAGACCCCGUGAACCUUUACUAUAGCUUGACACUGAACAUUGAGCCUUGAUGUGUAGGAUAGGUGGGAGGCUUUGAAGCGUGGACGCCAGUCUGCGUGGAGCCGACCUUGAAAUACCACCCUUUAAUGUUUGAUGUUCUAACGUGGACCCGUGAUCCGGGUUGCGGACAGUGUCUGGUGGGUAGUUUGACUGGGGCGGUCUCCUCCUAAAGAGUAACGGAGGAGCACGAAGGUUGGCUAAUCCUGGUCGGACAUCAGGAGGUUAGUGCAAUGGCAUAAGCCAGCUUGACUGCGAGCGUGACGGCGCGAGCAGGUGCGAAAGCAGGUCAUAGUGAUCCGGUGGUUCUGAAUGGAAGGGCCAUCGCUCAACGGAUAAAAGGUACUCCGGGGAUAACAGGCUGAUACCGCCCAAGAGUUCAUAUCGACGGCGGUGUUUGGCACCUCGAUGUCGGCUCAUCACAUCCUGGGGCUGAAGUAGGUCCCAAGGGUAUGGCUGUUCGCCAUUUAAAGUGGUACGCGAGCUGGGUUUAGAACGUCGUGAGACAGUUCGGUCCCUAUCUGCCGUGGGCGCUGGAGAACUGAGGGGGGCUGCUCCUAGUACGAGAGGACCGGAGUGGACGCAUCACUGGUGUUCGGGUUGUCAUGCCAAUGGCACUGCCCGGUAGCUAAAUGCGGAAGAGAUAAGUGCUGAAAGCAUCUAAGCACGAAACUUGCCCCGA